UAUAUUUUAGUAUAUGAUGUAUAGAAAUUUUUGGUAUUUCAGGGGAUGGUUUAAUUCCGUCAAAUGUA
rnacentral:tRNA from 1 species